rnacentral:rRNA from 1 species
GAUGAACGCUGGCGGCGUGCCUAAUACAUGCAAGUCGAGCGAACAGACGAGGAGCUUGCUCCUCUGACGUUAGCGGCGGACGGGUGAGUAACACGUGGAUAACCUACCUAUAAGACUGGGAUAACUUCGGGAAACCGGAGCUAAUACCGGAUAACAUGUUGAACCGCAUGGUUCAACAGUGAAAGACGGUCUUGCUGUCACUUAUAGAUGGAUCCGCGCCGCAUUAGCUAGUUGGUAAGGUAACGGCUUACCAAGGCAACGAUGCGUAGCCGACCUGAGAGGGUGAUCGGCCACACUGGAACUGAGACACGGUCCAGACUCCUACGGGAGGCGGCAGUAGGGAAUCUUCCGCAAUGGGCGAAAGCCUGACGGAGCAACGCCGCGUGAGUGAUGAAGGUCUUCGGAUCGUAAAACUCUGUUAUUAGGGAAGAACAAAUGUGUAAGUAACUAUGCACGUCUUGACGGUACCUAAUCAGAAAACCACGGCUAACUACGU